UCGGUACGUACUGGUGUUACUGAUUCCUACCUUCUGACGAACCAUCAUGUCAUUAAUUUGGUGUGGCGGGGAAUCAGGACUGUUACUUUGAAAAAAUUAGAGUGUUUAAAGCAGGCUCGCGCUUGAAUACAUUAGCAUGGAAUAAUGAAAUAGGACGUUGAUCCUAUUUUGUUGGUUUCUAGGAUUGACGUAAUGAUUAAUAGGGAUAGUUGGGGGCAUUAGUAUUCAAUUGUCAGAGGUGAAAUUCUUGGAUUUAUUGAAGACUAACUACUGCGAAAGCAUUUGCCAAGGAUGUUUUCAUUAAUCAAGAACGAAAGUUAGGGGAUCGAAAACAAUCAGAUACCGUCGUAGUCUUAACCAUAAACUAUGCCAACAAGGGAUCG
rnacentral:rRNA from 1 species